rnacentral:lncRNA from 1 species
AGCAACUUGCCAUUCCUUUACCUGAAGACCAAGCACGUUACCUCAUGCAUGACCUAAGCUAUGACAAGCAAGUAGGAGGUGUCACUUUGCAUGGAGCAUAGCCCACAAUAGGCUGGCCACUAGGGGUGGCAAGCUGCUGACCCACCAGCUUUGGGAGGGCCAAACAGCCCCAAGCAUCCAGCUGGGCGGUUUUCAACUUUGCAUAUAAAAGGAAGCUCAUUUCUCCACCAUUGUACACAC